UAACAAAAAUAAAUCUACCCGAGGAUUUUUUAAAAUUACUAAAUUGAAAACGUGGUACGCAUAUGUGGUGUAUACCUGAACGGCGGAUUAAUCGGUAAGCGAACUAUGCUGGCGCAUAGGGCCCCGAAGGAACUCCCGCAGUCUUUAAAAUGCUACUGAAAAAAGGGAUUGCGAAAACGCAGUAGAUAGAAAUAGUCAAAAAAAAAAAAAAAA